UUUUCUGCAAUGCAUAUGUGUCAUCUUUAUAAUCGGAGAAAAGUACUAAACAUAUUUGAAGAGCAGUUAUAUGCUGAAUGAGUGAUAGAUUCAGGGAUGACUUGAAGCUGGAACUGCUCAAGAACAGCUUCCCAAUGAGGUGUGACCUUCUCUCUGGGAGUGUCCAGGUCUGCACUGGGUGGGGGGGUUGAACAAGAGAGAGGCUAAGUGUGAGAAAGGAUGGGAUGAAAAGGAAAAUGACUUUUACUGAGCAUCUGCUACAGAUUGGUUUCUAUGCUGCAAAGCUGAGAUUAAAAAUCAAAAUAAGUUCUGCAAUGAACUAAAGCUGGUAAGAGUUGGAGCUGAGACCCGAAUCCAGGACUUCCUGGCUCUGGAGCACAAAUUUGAAGCAGCCUUCUUCACCUGCAGGAGCCAGGCCUGCAUCAGUCACCUGUUUAUAAGGCCAGCAAGUCUGAUCACCUCUUGCAAUCAACAAACAGGUUUCCAUGGAGGCAGAAGGAAGAUAAGGUUGGAGAAGCAGCUGCCUAAAUGACCUGUGGGCCUGAAUAUGAGGGGUGCCCAGCCCCCAGGGACACCCCACUUCUUGUGCACUUUCAAAGAGUUUUCAAGGUGGAAGAAAGCAGAGUUGACUGGGGUUGCGGACUAAGCUGACACAAGUAGGGUGGGGACAGUGUGGCAGGCUCCAGCAAGCACCAGAUCAGUACCUUCAGCCCUAGUACUUCUCAGCUAACUAGUGGUAAAGGUGGGCCUGGGCCCCAGGACCUUAUGGAAAUAGACAUGAAGGUCCAUUUGGAUGGAUGGACUGAGUUUUAAAAGCCUCUGCUUUUGCUAAUGGAUGGUAAAGCCCAUAUGCUGUUGCACCCUCUCCCAGCCUCUCUUCACAGGGACCUACAGACUCCUCCACCAGAACCCUCCCCAGCAGACAGCAACUCCCCUUCAGUUGGUCUGUGGGCACUCGAAGCUGUGUGCAACCAGGCCAAUGAGGUCGGUGAGGCUAUGGAGGACGGCCUUGAGAAAAACCAAGCCAGGACAUCUGGGAUCAAGAAGACAGAACACAAUACAACAGCUGGAAGGAAUGGAGAAAUGUACAGAUAAAGCAAAAUAAUCAGGAUAUGAGAUCUCAUUCCACUCCCAGUUAAUCAUCUGGAAGCUGUAUUCAAGGCUGCACAUUAACUUCAUGAAUACGCCACAGACACCUCAAGUGCAAGAGGUUUAAAGCCAAACCCCAUGUUUUAACCACCCAAUAUGUUUCCUUCCUGUGUUCCCAAUUUCAGAAAAAGCCUCAGUUACGACUUUCUGAGCCUUAGUUUUUCAACCCACAAAAUGGAGGGAGCAAUGCCUGCUCUGUCUACCUGGGCUGCCAGAGUCAGGUGAGAACCCAGACACAAACACACAUUGGAAAAUAACAACUGUGAGGAAGAUGGAGACCAGAGCAUGCUCACUCACUGCCAACAUUGUUCACCUGGUUAUUGACUCUCAAAGGAGGGACCCCAUCUCACAUGAGCAUGUGAUGGCACCAUGCAAAUUGCAAUGGGCUGCACCAGCAAGAGAAUGACAAACCAACAAGGCCGGCACCAUAUGACAAGAGCACCAGAGACUUCCUUCAGAUGCUAUGCACAGCCAUUUCCACAGAGACCUAUUAGAGACUAAAACUGAAUUUUUAGUAUGAAACAAGGGACUGACAAUGACAGCAGGAAUUUUCAGCAAGAAGGGAAAGGAGAACAACACAUAGCAUGCUUGAGGGAGGGCUAAUUGGAGUAAGCAGGGAUGUGGUUAAAAGGGGAGGACCUCAGAGGUAAUCAUCUAUAUCCCUUAUUUCCCAGUGGAACCAUUUAAACUGAGAGAGGAUGUGGAGGUUAGCCUCCAGCAUGGCUCCCAGUGAUCCCCACCUCCUGGAAAUUAUAUCCUUGUGUAGUCUCCUCCCAGACUGAAUAGGGGUGACCUGGAGAACCAAUAGGGUAUUGAGGUGAUCACAGUGUUUGACUUCUGCACCUAUGUCAUAAAGCGCAUGAUGACAUCUGCCUUGGAUCACUCACUCUGUGGGAAGCCAGCUUCCCUGUGGUGAGGACACUCAAACAGUCUUAGGAAGAAGCUUCCAUGGAGAGUAACUGCAGCCUCCUGACAACAGUCAGCAAGGAACUAAGACUUUCUGCCAACAGCCACAUGAGUGACCCAUCUUGGGAGAUGAUUCUCCAGCCCCAGUCAAACCUUCAGAUGAUGUGGUUCCAGCGAACAUCUUGAGAGCCUGUGAGCAGACUCCCAGUUACACCACUCCCAGAUUUCUGACCUAUUAUACUAUGAGAUAAUUAAUAAAUGAUUGCUGUUUUAAUUCA
rnacentral:lncRNA from 1 species